rnacentral:rRNA from 1 species
CGCGUAGGCGGCUUUUUAAGUCAGAUGUGUAAUCCCCGAGCUUAACUUGGGAACUGCAUCUGAGACUGGAAGGCUAGAGUACUGGAGAGGGUGGUGGAAUUCCUCGUGUAGCGGUGAAAUGCGUAGAGAUGAGGAGGAACACCAGUGGCGAAGGCGGCCACCUGGACAGUAACUGACGCUGAGGCGCGAAAGUGUGGGUAGCAAACAGGAUUAGAUACCCUGGUAGUCCACGCUGUAAACGAUGAACACUUGGUGUGGAGGGAGUUGACCCCUUCCGUGCCGGAGCUAACGCGUUAAGUGUUCCGCCUGGGGAGUACGGUCGCAAGGCUGAA